AUGCCGACUUAUCACUCUCCUCUCAUGGACCCUGAAACCAAGCUCAUCAGGUACAUGACACUGUAACCUAUCAGAAGUCAGUUCAAAGGAUGUACCCCUAGAGAGACAAAAGAUGCAGACAUUGUGGAUGAAGCCAUCUAUUACUUGAAGGCCAAUGUCUUCUUCAAAAACUAUGAAAUUAAGAAUGAAGCUGAUAGGAUCUUGAUAUAUGUAACUCUCUACAUUUCUGAGUGUCUGAAGAAAUUCCAAAAGUGCAAUUCCAAAAGCCAAGGUGAGAAAGAAAUGUAUACACUGGGAAUCAGUAAUUUUCCCGUUCCUGGAAUGCCUGGUUUCUUAGUUAAUGCAAUUUAUGUUAAACCUGCAAACAAAGAGGAAGAUGAAGUGAUGAGAGCCUACUUACAACAGCUAAAGCAAGAGACUGAACUGAGACUUUGUCAGGAAGUUUUUGACCCUCAGAAUGAUAAACCCAGCAAGUGGCAGACUUGCUUUGUGAAAAGGCAGUUCAUGAACAAGAGUCUUUCGAGAACUGGACAGUGAAGAGGGCCUGGGCAGCCACCAUCUCCAGAAACCUGGACAGCAUUUUCAAGCAAGAUAUGCACAGUUCUUUGCCUUCAUUUCAUAA